rnacentral:rRNA from 1 species
UGGGGAAUAUUGGACAAUGGGGGCAACCCUGAUCCAGCGAUGCCGCGUGAGUGAAGAAGGCCUUCGGGUCGUAAAGCUCUUUAGGUUGGGAAGAAGGAUAUGAGGUGAAUAGCCUUGUAUUUUGACGGUACCGACAGAAUAAGCACCGGCAAACUCUGUGCCAGCAGCCGCGGUAAUACAGAGGGUGCGAGCGUUAAUCGGAAUUACUGGGUGUAAAGGGCGCGUAGGCGGCAAGAUAUGUGUGAUGUGAAAGCCCCGGGCUUAACCUGGGAAGUGCAUUGCAAACUGUCUGGCUAGAGUAUAUGAGAGGGUGGCGGAAUUUCCGGUGUAGCGGUGAAAUGCGUAGAGAUCGGAAGGAACGUCAAUGGCGAAGGCAGCCACCUGGCAUAAUACUGACGCUGAGGCGCGAAAGCGUGGGGAGCGAACAGGAUUAGAUACCCCUGUAGUCC